AUUGAACGCUGGCGGCAUGCUUUACACAUGCAAGUCGAACGGUAACAGGCCUUCGGGUGCUGACGUGUGGCGAACGGGUGAGUAAUGCAUCGGAACGUACCCAGAGGUGGGGGAUAACGCAGCGAAAGCUGUGCUAAUACCGCAUGCGAUCUGAGGAUGAAAGCGGGGGACCGAGCAGCAAUGUUUGGCCUCGCGCCUUUGGAGCGGCCGAUGUCGGAUUAGCUAGUUGGUGGGGUAAAGGCCUACCAAGGCGACGAUCCAUAGCUGGUCUGAGAGGACGACCAGCCACACUGGGACUGAGACACGGCCCAGACUCCUACGGGAGGCAGCAGUGGGGAAUUUUGGACAAUGGGCGCAAGCCUGAUCCAGCAAUGCCGCGUGCGGGAAGAAGGCCUUCGGGUUGUAAACCGCUUUUGGCAGGAACGAAACGGUGUCCGCUAAUACCGGGCGCUAAUGACGGUACCUGCAGAAUAAGCACCGGCUAACUACGUG
rnacentral:rRNA from 1 species